rnacentral:rRNA from 1 species
UACGUAGGAUCCAAGCGUUGUCCGGAUUUACUGGGUGUAAAGGGUGCGCAGGCGGACUUGUUAGUCAGAGGUGAAAUCUCACUGCUCAACAGUGAAACUGCCUUUGAUACUGCAGGUCUUGAAUCCAGAAGAGAGUUGUGGAAUUCCGAGUGUAGCAGUGAAAUGUGUAGAUAUUCGGAAGAACACCAGCGGCGAAGGCAGCGACUUGGUCUGGUAUUGACGCUCAGGCACGAAAGCAUGGGGAUCAAACAGG